UGAGGAAUAUUGGUCAAUGGACGAGAGUCUGAACCAGCCAAGUCGCGUGAAGGAUGAAGGUCUUAUGGAUUGUAAACUUCUUUUAUACGGGAAUAAAAAGAGCCACGUGUGGCUUAUUGCAUGUACCGUACGAAUAAGGAUCGGCUAACUCCGUGCCAGCAGCCGCGGUAAUACGGAGGAUCCAAGCGUUAUCCGGAUUUAUUGGGUUUAAAGGGUGCGUAGGCGGUCAUUUAAGUCAGCGUUGAAAGUUUUCGGCUCAACCGGAAAAUUGGCAUUGAAACUGGAUGACUUGAGUGUAAAUGAAGUGGGCGGAAUUCGUUGUGUAGCGGUGAAAUGCAUAGAUAUAACGAAGAACUCCGAUUGCGAAGGCAGCUCACUAACAUACAACUGACGCUGAGGCACGAAAGCGUGGGGAUCAAACA
rnacentral:rRNA from 1 species